rnacentral:rRNA from 1 species
GACGGGUGAGUAACGCGUAGGAAUCUACCCAGUAGUGGGGGAUAGCCCGGGGAAACUCGGAUUAAUACCGCAUACGCCCUAAGGGGGAAAGGCCGGGAUCUUCGGACCGGUCACUAUUGGAGGAGCCUGCGUAGGAUUAGCUAGUUGGUGAGGUAAAGGCUCACCAAGGCGACGAUCUUUAGCGGGUCUGAGAGGACGAUCCGCCACAUUGGGACUGAGACACGGCCCAGACUCC